rnacentral:rRNA from 1 species
UCCUCAGUAACGGCGAGCGAAGAGGGAAGAGCUCAAGCCGAAAAUCUCCGACGGUUGCCGUCGGCGAAUUGUAGUUUGGAGAAGUGUCUUGAACGCGUGGUCGGCCGGUCCAAGUUGCUUGGAACGGCACGUCGCAGAGGGUGACAACCCCGUCGGCGGCCGGGCGACCUGCGCCACGAAGCACUUUCGCAGAGUCGGGUUGUUUGGGAUUGCAGCCCAAAGCGGGUGGUAAACUCCAUCUAAAGCUAAAUACGAGCACGAGUCCGAUAGCGAACAAGUACCGUGAGGGAAAGAUGAAAAGCACUUUGAAAAGAGAGUUAAAGAGUACGUGAAACCGUUGAAGGGGAAACGAAUGCGACCAGCAAAGCACCGGUUGCAGAUUCACGUCUCGUUCGAUUGUCGCGGCCGGCGUGCGGAUCCGAUCGGACCGUCGUCGGUUGGUCGACAGACGAGGGGAUCGCACUUCUGCCCGAUGCGAGCCAACGUCGGUUCGUCGUCGGCGUCCCGCUUUCGAGUCAGGUACCUCGCGGUCUCGGCCGGGAGCGUUACAGGCGCGGAAGCACGGGCGUCGCGACGGACCGAGGCGACGAUUGUCGGUGGCGGCCCGCGCCCUCUUCGGGGCUAGAGGCCGACGCGGCACGUCGCGCGUCGUUGCGGGGACUGCGUGCAGUGCUCGCGUACGAUCGUGCGGGUGCCGUCGUCGCGUCUUUCGUAGGCGGGCCUCGGUCGUUGGCGGUGAAAUGGUCUCAUCCGACCCGUCUUGAAACACGGACCAAGGAGUCUAACAUGUGUGCGAGUCGUGGGGCGACGAAACCCCGUGGCGCAAUGAAAGUGAAUUUCGGAGACGAGAAGGCGACUCUCGAGCCGUCCGCAUCGUCGGCCGACCCGUCCUGAUUUCAGAAAGGUUUGAGUAGGAGCACACCUGUUGGGACCCGAAAGAUGGUGAACUAUGCCUGAAUAGGGUGAAGCCAGAGGAAACUCUGGUGGAGGCUCGUAGCGAUUCUGACGUGCAAAUCGAUCGUCCGAUUUGGGUAUAGGGCGAAAGACUAAUCGAACC